ACACACAUAGACUUUGCAUUAUUGUUUUACAAGAGAGACACCAAAAGAUGCAGUCAACAUUUAUCAUUUUUAUCAAAAUACACCCAGGACAAAUCAUGGGUACACUUAGCUUGAAAUAUGGUGCUUUCAUAUCAAAAUUGCCUGGACGUAAAAGAAAUAAAGAACCAAAAUUCAUGUCAGCAAUCACGCAGGGGAUAAGAUGAAAGAAUAAAGAAUAAGGCAGGAGUGAAAGGAAGAGAAAAAGUCAUCAGUAAAGAAACAGAUCAAUUUACAUUAACAUGUAAUAAUUCCAUCUGAAUAUAACAAGCAUUGCACAUGUUAUGAAGAUUUAUUCACAUGUUACUAUGAUUUGUAAUAUUUUAUUGUAUGUAUUUGUAAUAUUAUAUAGAACAUGUAUUUUAUUUUAGAA